AAGGGAGAGAGAGAGAGAGAGAGGUAGAGGGUGUCUGGCUGCGUACAUGUGGUACAGGCAGGGGAUCAGAACGCUCACAGAACAGGCAGCAUAAUUCCAUGUUCUCCCUAAGUCUCAGCCCUGCAGGGAGCGGCGCCUGCAGUCUACUUGGAGAGGGAAAGUAGAAGGUGGAAGGGGUCAAUUCCUAAGUGAGUGGGUCCUCACUUAUCAUGAGGGCAUCUGCUCAUCUCCAGUGACUGCCCGGUGCCUCCUGGUCAGACUCGGCCCCCUCUCUCCUAGAUACUUGCUUUAGCUGAAGAGACACACCUUUCUGCAGCAGAGAAACGCAGCUGACCAGAUUGCAAGCCGGUGCUGGCGGAUGCUCUGCAGCUGCCCUGGGCCCAGGCAGACUGAUUCAGCAGAAGCAUCUGUGCAUGGGAGUCGCAAUCAGGGACCAUGGCAGUGCAGCUGGUGCCGGACUCCGCUCUCAGCCUGCUGAUGGUGAGUGUGCUGGGGAGGAGGUGGGGCCCAGCAGUGCCCACUCCAGCCUUCCCCUGCCUCAGGGACUGCUGCUAACUGCUGCGGCUGCUGCCAUGGCUGCAGACACGGAAAGCACGGCUCGGCUUCAUCCAGCGGGCUCCUGUGAAAGGAUUUCUUGGGUCCGAGGAUUAGCGUGACUAAGCACUCUCAGGGAAAAGCAGCAGUAGAUUUGCCAUUUUAGAAACUUGUUGCUGAAUGCUAUUUCGAGACGCGUGCUUACAAACAGGUGCUCAGGGCGGCUCCAGAUAGAUCUCAAGAUGCCUCCCCUCCGUGCUCAGCAUCCUUUGCUCCCGGUCUUUUGAAUACAAAUUCAGAGAGUUGUGCUUGGAUGUUUGUUUGAUUUCCUUCCAGGGCAGCUGUGGGAUUUAUUUAAAAAAAAAAAUCAUUUUAAUUUUUUUGUCUCCAGACUGAAGGUUAUCUUCCCAGGUUCCUCUAGAGAAGCCCAGGAGGCUCACGGUGGCCCUUGGGACGGUUCAGCUGCCCCAUUAGUAGACACUCCUCUCCCAUCUAUAGUUGGCCAGGAGACAUUGGUAUUUAUAUGUGUGUGAACUGCUGACCUACUUUAAACGCCUGUGAUUUUUUAUGAUGCUAAGGAAGCUGUUGCUCUUAGUGCUUUGAAGCAGGCAAGGACAGCCCCAGCGCCUUGUAAGCCAGUUGGCUUUGGGCUUGACUCUGGGUUCAGUUUGCUUUGCGGUUCUGGCGCCCCCUCCCUCCUCCUCGGCUGCCCAGUAGUUCACAGGCCCUGGCAAUGUUGCCUCCGGAAGAAGGCUGUGUCAGCUUGGCGUGGGAAUGUACCUAACAUUUACUCGGGAGAGUUUAUGAGCAGGGCUUAAGUGCUUCUGCUGUGUGUAUUGAUCUGUGUUUUCUGACUGCGAUGGGAAAGUGCAGCGUGCUGAGGGCUGAUGAGUUUAUUAAGGUGACUUGGAGGAGUGGCUAGAGGGAACUCGCCUCCUGGGUGGAGAGCCACAUCAAAUGAAGAGGGAUGUGCCUCCUCAUGCUCCAUUAGCCAAAAAAUAAAUAAAAAUAAAAAU